rnacentral:rRNA from 1 species
UAGAGAUCCUGGCUCAGAUUGAACGCUGGCGGCAGGCCUAACACAUGCAAGUCGAGCGGAUGAAAGGAGCUUGCUCCUGGAUUCAGCGGCGGACGGGUGAGUAAUGCCUAGGAAUCUGCCUGGUAGUGGGGGACAACGUUUCGAAAGGAACGCUAAUACCGCAUACGUCCUACGGGAGAAAGCAGGGGACCUUCGGGCCUUGCGCUAUCAGAUGAGCCUAGGUCGGAUUAGCUAGUUGGUGAGGUAAUGGCUCACCAAGGCGACGAUCCGUAACUGGUCUGAGAGGAUGAUCAGUCACACUGGAACUGAGACACGGUCCAGACUCCUACGGGAGGCAGCAGUGGGGAAUAUUGGACAAUGGGCGAAAGCCUGAUCCAGCCAUGCCGCGUGUGUGAAGAAGGUCUUCGGAUUGUAAAGCACUUUAAGUUGGGAGGAAGGGCAGUAAAUUAAUACUUUGCUGUUUUGACGUUACCGACAGAAUAAGCACCGGCUAACUCUGUGCCAGCAGCCGCGGUAAUACAGAGGGUGCAAGCGUUAAUCGGAAUUACUGGGCGUAAAGCGCGCGUAGGUGGUUUGUUAAGUUGGAUGUGAAAUCCCCGGGCUCAACCUGGGAACUGCAUCCAAAACUGGCAAGCUAGAGUAUGGUAGAGGGUGGUGGAAUUUCUGGUAGCGGUGAAAUGCGUAGAUAUAGGAAGGAACACCAGUGGCGAAGGCGACCACC